GCCUGGAUGGCUCAGUUGGUAGAGCAUCUGACUCUUGAUCUCAGGGUCCUGAGUUCAAGCCCCAAGUUGGGCA
rnacentral:tRNA from 1 species